UACAGAGGUGACUAACGUUGUCCGGAAUUAUUGGGCGUAAAGGGCGCGUAGGUGGUCAGGUAAGUCAGGUGUGAAAGCUCUGGGCUUAACCCAGGAAUUGCAUCUGAUACUGCUUGGCUUGAGUACGGGUAGAGGAGGGUGGAAUUCCCAGUGUAGCGGUGAAAUGCGUAGAUAUUGGGAGGAACACCGGUGGCGAAGGCGGCCCUCUGGACCCGAAACUGACACUGAAGCGCGAAAGCUAGGGAGCGAAACGGG
rnacentral:rRNA from 1 species